AGCAAUCUAAGCCUUCUGAACUUAUUCUAAUUAAGUAUCUUCACCACAAAUGAUCUUUUCUUCAUACCUUAGGUGCCGAAUUAUACGAAUAAAUCUUUGUUCUUCAAUUUGGAUCUUUUCCUCAAAACUUCCGCGAUCAACUCUUCAAGACUCCAAUCUACUUUACAAAAUUCGCCAACCUAUAAAAUCCUUAACAAUCUCCCCCUUUGGCGAUUUCGUGACAAAAUAUACUACAAAGCUCAUACACAACUCAGAAACAAUAAAAAGAAGAUCAUCGCAAUCACCGAACGACAAUCUCCAGUAUGAUCGAUCCAAUAAACGAAAAUUACAAUUUUCAAAACCUUAUUACAAACUCUAUGACUUAGACUUG
rnacentral:lncRNA from 1 species